rnacentral:rRNA from 1 species
CCCUUAGAUGUUCUGGGCUGCACGCGCGCUACACUGACACACUCAGCGAGUCUCCUGGCCCGAGAGGGUUGGGUAAUCAUGUGAGCGUGUGUCGUGAUGGGGAUAGAAUAUUGUAAUUAUUGCUCUUCAACGAGGAAUUCCUAGUAAGCGCGAGUCAGCAGCUCGCGCUGAUUACGUCCCUGCCCUUUGUACACACCGCCCGUCGCUCCUACCGAUUGAACGUUUUAGUGAGGUAUUUGGACUGGACCUUCGGAGGUUCGCGCCUCCGUUGCUGUUCGGGAAGACUCCCAAACUUGAGCGUUUAGAGGAAGUAAAAGUCGUAACA